AUAUCUGCAAGAAAGCAUACCUGGAUUUAUGAGAGCUACUUACAUUUUUUUCUUCCUUUUACAAUCCUAAACUUUGCAGUUAGGAUUCCAGUUUGGCUUAGAAGGUACCAGGGGAGCUGUCUCCUCCCUGGGGAGAGGAGAUGUUGGGGUAAGACCAUUAAAGUGUUCUUGCAAUAGUGCUGAAUUCCUGCAGGUAAUUUGUUAAGAGCCCCCUGAGGGCCACAAACAGGUUCCUUACAGCCCUCAUAGCACUUGUUUUCAAAUUCCUUAACAAGAAAUGCCUGUCAGUUGUUUCCAGUUACGCACAUUUCUGCCAAGAGAAUCAGCAAAACAAGUCCAUUGACCCAAUUACCCUUGUGGGAUUUUUUUUUUUUGGGGGGAGGUCGUUUUUAAUUUGUUCCUUAGAUAAGGUCUUUCUGUUAACCUGCCCAAAUUCCAUCUGGACACAAAGUUAACAUCAAAACAAAGUUACCAAGGCUGUCCAGUUGUUUUCCAUGGUGCUUGCAGGUGGUUCCAGCUGGAUGCAUUAAGCCAGAGUCAGAGUCCUUGCUGUUCAUGCUAUUCCUACCCCCAGCAGCAGUGCAGUGGGAUUGCACUACUCGUACUUAUCUGGAAUUGCUCUCUAAGAGCAGUAGUAACUGAAGGCAGUGUUGUUAAAAGGGCCAUCCUGACAGCUGUGCCAGUAACCAUGGAUUCCAGAAAGCACUGAGGACCCUUUGAUUUCACUGCUCCUGCAGCGUUAGAAACAAUGUCUGAAGACUCCCAAGGCUAACAUGGAAAGUUACCCUUCACCAAAAAUAGAUAAGCUGGAUUUUCAGCUCCUGCUAUCCCCUGUAAGAGCAAAUGUCUUUAUCAGGAAGUGCCAAAGCUAAAAGGAAUGAAUUAUAACUACAAGGAAUAACAUCCACACAGCUUUUAUGUGAAGGAGGGAAAACUGAAAGUGGGAACUGGACACUCCUCUCUCUGAAGGGCAGACCUGAAUAAAACAGCUCUGACUGUGCACAUAAACCACGUUCAGCAACACUCACCUUUCGGAAAAAUCCGACUCUAGGAUUUCUUGAGUCCGUUUUCGCUCCCUAAGAAAAGACAAUUCAAACUUUAGGUGACAAUAACAUUAUAUCUACAGGCCACUAAAAUCUCUGUGCAGGGCCUGGCUGGCUCUGGUGUUUGCUGUUCCAUGUUUCCCAAAAGUGAAAAAUCUGACACGCAGAGAUUGGCAAAAUCUGAGAGAAGGGGGUUAGGGCUUUGGGAGGAGGUUGCUGGAGCUCGCUGCCAGACAAGUCCUAUUCCCAAUUUUACCAUGUUUUGCCCACAUAAAUCUAGGUAAGUCACCUCACCUGGAACUGCAACAGUGCUGACCUGAGCUAGAUAACCAAAGACCAUCAAAAAGGAGAAGCUUUUUCCUUUGAAAAUUCCUGUUUAAAAUUCCUCCAUGUGGAACAAAACUGUCUUGAAACAGUGCAUGAGAUAUAUCCUGUAUUUUCAGGCCAUUGCAUGUUCUGAAACCUUUAAACAAAAACCAAGGUAAACCAAAACAUUCAAAUUGGGGCUGAUGCAGACAGAGCUGAAGAGACUCUGAGGAAGCAGCUGGCGUGAAUGUUGCACAGGAUGAGCAGUCUGCAGUCACUGGUGGCUCCUUCUCACCCCAUGUAUCCCCCAGCAGCCAGGAGCUGUGUCCAGACCCGCACUGAUUCCUGCAGCUCACAGCAGGGACGUUCCCAGAGCUGUCAGGAAAUGAUAUCCCAUUGUUCCCUGUGUUUCCAAAGGGGGCUCACAGCACAGCCUCCCCCAGCUGGACACCCCACACUGCUGGGAGGGAGCUGAACACAAACCAUGCAUUUGAAGCCUGUGCCUGGAGAGGCAGCACACACUUGGUGUGUGGAGCAGAGCAGGUCCCUCCCUGGGCAGCAGCAGGGGAUUUGUGCCUCAUUCCUGUCCAUGGUGCUCAGCAGGGGCUGAGUGUGGCUGGGGGGCUGCACUGCAGGGGGAUUUGUGCCUCAUUCCUGUCCAUGGUGCUCAGCAGGGGCUGAGUGUGGCUGGGGGGCUGCACUGCAGGGGGAUUUGUGCCUCAUUCCUGUCCAUGGUGCUCACCGGGGGCUGAGUGUGGCUCGGGGGCUGCACUGCCCUGGGCACGGCCCUGCAGCAGGGGGAGAGGAGAGCUGGACCCUGCUCUGGGCACCAACUGCUGGGGGUUUAUGGAGCCCUGAGAAAUGAUGUGCUCAGCCCAUUGGAUUUUGGAAAUAACGUGGAAUCUGUGCAGUAAACGAUGGGCAGAGCAAGCAGUGUGGACUUGCAAUCCUGUGGAACUGUCUCCAGCAAGGGCUCCCUGUCUGUUCAGCAACAGCACGGACCUUCCUCACUCUGCUCCUCAGAUGAAAACGUGGCCUGUGGCAUGGGCUUGUGCACAGAUCAGCACUGACUGCUUGCCUGGAGUCACCUUGCUCCUUCCUGGGGCUGGAACAGGAGUUUCUCGGCUCUGCCAGUCCCCAAACAGCAGGCUGGUGCUUCUCCUGGGUGGUGGAGGUUGAUGCUCUGCAAUGCAGGCUGCUCUGGGAACCCCCUCACGGGGUUGGGAUGAAGCCUGAGAAGGUGAUGGGUGUUGAUUCUCUGGUUUAACAAGUUGUUGUGACCGGAUAGCAGAGCUUGUCCCUCCUCUGGGUACUGAAAGAACAUCUGCCUGGCCUCCACAUUUCACAGAAUAUGCAGGAACAAAGCAAUCUUGGACAGCUCCUUUUUCAAAUAAAAUCAGAACUAAGUGCAUUCAAAAGGUAUUUCAGGAAAUGAACACAAAGUCAGAAAAAAAUUAAAGCUUAAAAACUGCUCAGCUGGGCCUGCAGUUUAUCAGCUCUGUGGUGGGAAUACAGUGAUUGGGAAGGUCAGGAAUAUGACAGAGUAGUUGUUUCUUGGAUGCUCCAUUUCUCAUGUGUAAAGCUGAAAAGGUCCUACUGACAUUCAUCACUGAUUAGAAAAAUUAACCUAGAUGCAGAAAUAAAUUAUUUUUUCAGAGGCAACGUUCUACAUCUCUGUUUUGACACAGCUAAGCUCAGCAGUACUGGUAUUAAAACAAAAUACCAAGAACUAGAAACUGUCACCCAACAUACAGACACAACAGUAUAAAGAACAGAAGAGACCAGAGCAGACAUCUUUAAAUAAGGCAAAAGUCCUACCCU